rnacentral:rRNA from 1 species
ACUUUUUCAUGUGGAACAGCCACUGCACUUUGACCAUUGAUCUCAAUAAUGCGAUGGCCAACACGUAUACCACCCCUUUCAGCAAUGCCACCCCGAAGCAAACUGCAAAUUACACCAUUUUGCACGCUAAAACCAAGCUGAUAUUUCGUGUCCGGACGUUUGAUACGAACUUCUACAACUGGUGGCGUUUGAACAAUGGUAAUUUUGACGGCUGUCAGUGAACGAGCAUCCUUGAUAUGAUUCUGGCAUAUAUUCAAAGGCAAACCGACAAACGAGAUUCCAUUCAACGCGAUGAUGUGGUCUCCGAUGUUAAUCUUUUUACAUCUAGCUGCUGCACCUUCUGGCAACAUGUUCGCAAUCACCACCGUCGGCAACAUGCUUCCCCAUCCGGACUCAACAACUGCUACACCCAAAGGCUCGUCUUUCCGUUUCGGUAUAACAAUAUCUUUCUGAGUCUCUCUGUUAGAAAACAUUUCCAACUCAUCGCAAUAAAUUUCUUGGGAAUUCAAAACUUGCUGGUAAUCAAGCUCUUUGACAUAAGUCGGAUCGUCAAUUCCUCGAGAACGCAAAAAUUCCAUAUAUGCAACUUGAAAAGCUUGACCAAUCGACUGAGCUAUAAACUGCGCCUCUUCCGAUUCGAACACAUGACAAAUCAUCUUCGGCACUGCCAGAAUACCAUGUGAAGCAGUGAACCAAAAGUCAGGUUAAGGUGCCAGACAUUGGCGCUCAUGAAAUACCAGAAAAGGUGUUGGUCGAUAUAGACAGCAGGACGGUGGCCAUGGAAGUUGGAAUCCGCCAAGGAGUGUGUAACAACUCACCUGCCGAAUCGACUAGCCCUGAAAAUGGAUAGCGUUUGAGCGCCAGGCCCAUACCUGACCGUCUCAAUUACGCACUUUUUUUCGGAAAAGGUGUAAUGAACGUUGAGACGGGUAGGAAGGUCGCGACAGUGUUGCUUUGAAGAGUUUUGAGCGUGAGCUCGCUCGGAGCCGCUGUUGGUGCAGAUCUUGGUGGUAGUAGCAAAUAUUCAAGUGAGAACCUUGAAGGCUGAAGUGGAGCAAGGUUCCAUGUGAACAGCAGUUGGACAUGGGUCAGUCGAUCCUAAGAAAACGGCCGAAAGCUUGUUCGAAUUUGCGACAUGAAUUGUAAGACUGUGUGUGUUUAUUGUGUGUGCAGUUGUCGUAUGUUUUCGAAAGGGAAUCCGGUUGAUAUUCCGGAACCGAGUAACGGAGACAAAGAGUAGCGCUUUAAUCUCUCUGUGGGGUUGGCGUUCAACUCAAUCGCGCGGUAACGCAAGCGAACUCGGAAAAUGACCGUCGUGAGUUUCGAAAAGAGUUUUCUUUUCUUUUUAAGGGACGCAUUCCCUGGAACCGGGUUGUCCGGAGAUAGGGAUUCUGGUAUCCAUAAAACGCCGACUUUUUCACGGUGUUCGGAGCGCUCUCGUCGGUACGUGAAAAUCCGAGCGACGCCUGGUAAAUCUCGUACUUGGUCGUACUGAUAUCCGCAGCAGGUCUCCAAGGUGAAUAGCCUCUGGCCGAUAGAAUAAUGUAGGUAAGGGAAGUCGGCAAAACGGAUCCGUAACUUCGGAACAAGGAUUGGCUCUAAGGGCUGGGCCGAUCGGGCUGAGGUUUCAAGCGUGCAGUGUAUGCUUGGCUGAGUUGUGUUGAGGACUUGUUCACUUGCCGCCGUUUGUUCGGUUGGUCUAGUGUAUUCGAGUCUGAAGCAGAGCUGGCCGACAGACCGGCACGUGCAGAACCUGAGCUGCGCGGCUGUCCGUUUACGUGUACAGACCGUUUCGGUCGGCAUUCAACAGCCAACUUAGAACUGGCACGGACACAAGGAAUCUGACUGUAUAAUUAAAACAAAGCAUUGCGAUGGCCGAUGAUCGGUGAUGACGCAAUGUGAUUUCUGCCCAGUGCUCUGAAUGUCAAAGUGAAGAAAUUCAAUCAAGCGCGGGUAAACGGCGGGAGUAACUAUGACUCUCUUAAGGUAGCCAAAUGCCUCGUCAUCUAAUUAGUGACGCGUAUGAAUGGAUCAACAAGAUUCCUUCUGUCCCUAUCUACUAUCUAGCGAAACCACAGCCAAGGGAACGGGCUUGGCAAAAUCAGCGGGGAAAGAAGACCCUGUUGAGCUUGACUCUAGUCUGUCAGAUCGGAAGAGACACCGAUGAAGGACGUGCUAAUCUGCGAAAAGCGUCGGUAAGGUGAUAUGAACCGUUACAGCCGGCGAUGUCCGAAUGGGGAAACCCAGUG